UCGUAAUGAAUCGAGUAUUGGGGAGAUUUUUGGGAGGAGAGCUGCACGCCAAAUGGUAUAAUAGCGAUAAGCAAUCUGAUAUAAAGGGACUAUGGACGUGACGUGUUGGUGAUCUCCAUCUCUAACCUCCAAAUAGACCCUGGUCUGGAUGAGAGGCGGAUGAGAGCUGGACCUGAGGGAUUUUCCUCCAGACGAGGGUUCGUCUCCGCGGCGGCUCUGACCCGCCGAGUGAAGAGGCCCGAUGUGUUACUGGCCGACGUGUUUUUGAUUGGAUAUCCUCACUGAACCCUGCAGCAGAUGACCUGUAGCCUAGUUUGGUUGGAAGGGAAAUUCUGAAAACUGCCAGUUUUGAUCACGUUGCCCUCUGCUGUUCAGAAGAGGAACAGCACAACCAAGAGUCAAAGCAGGAGGAAUUAAAUACAGAAUUCCUCAAUGGUUCAGACUGUGUUUUUAAAAUUGAUGGAGAGCUUCAAAUUUUAUGCCCAAUACAGGCCAUUCAUACAUGGGCCUGUUACCAAACAUUUUGCUUUGGCCAGUAUCAAUUAUAUGUUCAUCGUGAUCAAAUACAUGGUGCAGCCUAAUAACCAGCCUAUACGUUCAUUUGUGGAUAAUGGGGCUCGAAAACAAUCAAUAAAUCAAUCCAGCCAAUUCCCCCCGCGGUGUGCAUGGGCUUCCACACGCUGAUCCCUCCCACAGAUCAGGCGGGUUAAACCACAUAGCAGGUGAGCUUUCUGUGGGACCAGCUCUGAACUCAACUGAAGAAAAAGGUAAGCGUCUCCAUGGCCAUUCUACACCGUGACAUGGUGACGGCUUUCUGUCUGCUUAUUGGAAACUAUAGUCAACAAGGGUUUAAAUGUUCAUUGUGAAUAGUUUUGAGCCAUAUCUUAACGAAAUAGUGUGAUAUAAUGUAGGCUACGUGUUCCCAGUCUAGUCCAACACUGGCCUGUACCGGUUGCGUUUUUAUUCAUCAGCUUAGAGAAAUGAUUUCGGGAAGCGAAUCAUUUUUUAUAAAUACAGAAAUAUCAAAAUUCAACCAAUGUGUUGAAUUGUGUCAAAUAUAAACUGAAACUGAGUGGAAUUCCUCAUGGAGAUUUAAGUGGAUAAGACAAUUAGUUAAAUACCUACAUCUUAUCAGCCUUUAGAUGGUGUAGGCACUAGCACUAGGCUAUGGAAAAUAUAUUGGUUAUGAUUAACUAAUAAGCUACGAAACCUAAAUAAAUAGCUAUACACAUUAUCCUAUAGCAUAACUAUAGCAUAACAUCAGCUAGACAUUGAAUCAGUUCACUGAAGAAACAAGACCG
ensembl:lncRNA